CCCCGGCCCGGGCCCCCCCCGGGACCCCCCCCGGGCCCCGCUCACAGCGCCGCCACCCCGGGGGGGUCCCCGGGACCCCCCAACAGCGGCCCGGGGGCGCCGCCCCCGCCCCCUCCCGCCUCCCGCCGCCCCCCGGGGGGGCCCGGGGGGGGGCUCGGGCGGGGGGCCCGGGGGGGCGGCGGGGCCGGGGGGGUCCGUGGGGGGUCCCGGGGGCGGUCCCGGGGGGGGUCCCGGGGGGCGCCUGUGCGAGGCGCGGGAGGUGCGCAGGGUGCAAUGGCCCGCGGCCCAGCAGGGGGCUCUGGUGGAGAGACCCUGCCCCAAAGGGACCCGAGGCAUCGCCUCCUUCCAGUGCCUGCUGGGGCUGGGCGUGUGGAACCCCCGCGGGCCCGACCUGAGCAACUGCACCAGCCCCUGGGUCAACCAGGUGGCCCAGAAGAUCAAGAGCGGGGAGAACGCGGCGUCCAUCGCGGGGGAGCUGGCGCGGCACACGCGGGGCCCGGUGUUCGCCGGCGACGUCAGCUCGGCCGUGCGGCUGCUGGAGCAGCUCCUCGACAUCCUGGACGCGCAGCUGCAGGCGCUGCGCCCGCUCGAGAGGGAGUCCGCGGGCAAGAACUACAACAAGGUGUGACCCCAACCCAAAUUUGGGGUGCAGGGCGUUGGGGGGACAGGAGGAACAGGUGGGACCC
rnacentral:lncRNA from 1 species